rnacentral:rRNA from 1 species
AGGCUUUGAUCCUGGCUCAGGAUGAACGCUGGCGGUCUGCUUAACACAUGCAAGUCGAACGGAGUACUUCGGUACUUAGUGGCGGACGGGUGAGUAACGCGUGAGAAUCUGCCCUUAGGACGGGGACAACAGCUGGAAACGGCUGCUAAUACCCGAUGUGCCGAGAGGUGAAACAUUUUAUGGCCUGAGGAUGAGCUCGCGUCUGAUUAGCUAGUUGGUGGGGUAAGAGCCUACCAAGGCGACGAUCAGUAGCUGGUCUGAGAGGAUGAUCAGCCACACUGGGACUGAGACACGGCCCAGACUCCUACGGGAGGCAGCAGUGGGGAAUUUUCCGCAAUGGGCGCAAGCCUGACGGAGCAAGACCGCGUGCGGGAGGACGGCCUAUUGGUUGUAAACCGCUUUUGAUAGGGAAGAAGCACUGACGGUACCUAUCGAAUCAGCAUCGGCUA